rnacentral:misc_RNA from 1 species
AACGAAUAUUAAAUGAUAGGAAUGAUUAAAAAAUCUCGCAAAGUAUCAAACGAGAGUGUCUUCUUUUUUAUUGAAUUAUAUAUAAUUCGUUUUUGGAAAAUAUGAUAUAUAUAUGUAUAUAAUAUAACAAGAAAUAUAAUUAGACUGACAUGAGUUCUAUCAAAUUGUCCGGCUCUCUAUGAUGUUGUGCAUCUUUGGGUUGGUAGUAUAGCUCUUUUGUUUCCACCAUACGAUUCCUAAUUUCAUUCACCUUCUCGGUCACCUUCGUGAUGCAUAUGCAUACGAAUUCUUCAAUUCGUCGACAAGAAACGACCUGAAGAUAUCCUGUACAGAAAUCUCAGUCCAAAUGAAAACUCUAAAUUAUAAUAUUAAGCAUAAAGGCACAGCCAUCGUUUACUCUUGUU